rnacentral:rRNA from 1 species
AGUGAACGCUGGCGGUAGGCCUAACACAUGCAAGUCGAACGGCAGCACAGUAAGAGCUUGCUCUUACGGGUGGCGAGUGGCGGACGGGUGAGGAAUACAUCGGAAUCUACUUUUUCGUGGGGGAUAACGUAGGGAAACUUACGCUAAUACCGCAUACGACCUACGGGUGAAGGCAGGGGAUCUUCGGACCUUGCGCGAUUGAAUGAGCCGAUGUCGGAUUAGCUAGUUGGCGGGGUAAAGGCCCACCAAGGCGACGAUCCGUAGCUGGUCUGAGAGGAUGAUCAGCCACAUUGGAACUGAGACACGGUCCAGACUCCUACGGGAGGCAGCAGUGGGGAAUAUUGGACAAUGGGCGCAAGCCUGAUCCAGCCAUACCGCGUGGGUGAAGAAGGCCUUCGGGUUGUAAAGCCCUUUUGUUGGGAAAGAAAAGCAGCAGGUUAAUACCCCGCUGUUCUGACGGUACCCAAAGAAUAAGCACCGGCUAACUUCGUG